GCCCCCGGCGGCGGCCCCCGCCCUAGCGCCCGGUACUUGCCUGCAGGCGAGCGCCACCACGGUCAGCCCGCGGCUUUUCUGUCUUCCUUUCUGGCCCAGCGAGCGCGCCCAGGGGGUGGGCGUCUUGCUCCGGGCGUCGAGAGGUUGGGGCCGUCCCGUACGCGGCGCGCCGCGCCGCAACCCAGUCCCCGCGACCACAGCAGCCUGCUCCCCACCGCGCUUGCAGAGCCCGGACGCGCGUGAGUCGGGGGCCCGCAGAGGCCUCACCCUUGGAGGUCGCCGCUUGUCAGGCCUGACUGCUGUUGGCGCCCACCCCGCCGCCCCCGAGGGGCCGCUCGAGGCCGGACUGCUGCUUUGCCGUGGCGGGCUCCACCCGGGACGUGGCGCUGCGGGCCGGGGCGGUCCAGCUGCAAUCCCUACUCCCUGCCAAAGGAGAACCCAGUUACUGAACAUCGGAUGAGACCGUGGAUACUAAAUUGGGAGUGAAGGUCCAUACCUGGGUCUCAGAAGCACAGUACAGGUAAAGCUAAGAGUUAUUUCCUCCUUCUCUUUCCCCAUCCAACAACAGG
rnacentral:antisense_RNA from 1 species